AGCCAGACUCCUACGGGAGGCAGCAGUGAGGAAUAUUGGUCAAUGGCCGUAAGGCUGAACCAGCCAAGUCGCGUGAAGGAAGAAGGAUCUAUGGUUUGUAAACUUCUUUUAUAGGGGAAUAAAGGUAUCCACGUGUGGAUAUUUGCAUGUACCCUAUGAAUAAGCAUCGGCUAACUCCGUGCCAGCAGCCGCGGUAAUACGGAGGAUGCGAGCGUUAUCCGGAUUUAUUGGGUUUAAAGGGUGCGCAGGCGGCACGGCAAGCCGGCGGUCAAAUCGCGGGGCUCAACCCCGCCCAGCCGUCGGAACUGCCGGGCUAGAGUGGGCGAGAAGAAGGCGGAAUGCGUGGUGUAGCGGUGAAAUGCAUAGAUAUCACGCAGAACCCCGAUUGCGAAGGCAGCCUUCCGGCGCCCUACUGACGCUGAGGCACGAAAGUGCGGGGAUCGAACAGGAUUAGAUACCCGUGUAUC
rnacentral:rRNA from 1 species